UUCUGUAUGAUGCCUUCUAGCAGUGGCGCUUAUGAGAAGCCUUUGUGGCCCCGCAAGGGGUACCCAUCGCGACAGUAAAAAAAUGAUGUGGGUAUUAAAUCGCAAGUCGGUUUUUGGAAAACCGGCCACACUUUCGAAUUGCGGGAAUGCCCUAAAGCCCAGCUCUACCAAGCCAGUGGGGAAACUCAGCUGGUGGCCCGUGCUAACAACAUGGGGUACGGUAAAAACGAGCCUGGGAUGAACCAAUGGGUAAUCCGCAGCCAAGUCCCUAAGGCUUUCGCUAAGGGACCGGUUCACAGACUAAGUGGAAGUGGGUUGCGGCUGGACCGCAGCUUAAGAUAUAGUCGGGCCUGGCGUGAGAACGCUGGGGAGUCACAAUCAAACC
rnacentral:rRNA from 1 species